rnacentral:rRNA from 1 species
UACGUAGGGUGCAAGCGUUAAUCGGAAUUACUGGGCGUAAAGCGUGCGCAGGCGGUUAUAUAAGACAGUUGUGAAAUCCCCGGGCUCAACCUGGGAACUGCAUCUGUGACUGUAUAGCUAGAGUACGGUAGAGGGGGAUGGAAUUCCGCGUGUAGCAGUGAAAUGCGUAGAUAUGCGGAGGAACACCGAUGGCGAAGGCAAUCCCCUGGACCUGUACUGACGCUCAUGCAUGAAAGCGUGGGGAGCAAACAGG